UACGUAGGGUGCGAGCGUUACUCGGAAUUACUGGGCGUAAAGCGUGCGCAGGCGGUUUUGCAAAGCAGGUGUGAAAUCCCCGGGCUUAACCUGGGAACUGCAUUUGUGACUGCACGGCUAGAGUGUGUCAGAGGGGGGUAGAAUUCCACGUGUAGCAGUGAAAUGCGUAGAGAUGUGGAGGAAUACCGAUGGCGAAGGCAGCCCCCUGGGAUAACACUGACGCUCAUGCACGAAAGCGUGGGGAGCAAACAGG
rnacentral:rRNA from 1 species